GAGACUUCCAGGUGCUUCUUCCCCCUCCCAAAAUUCUUCUCCUCGCGGUCUCCCUCGCCGCCACGCCUGCAUCCGCCACUCUCCGCGCUCGCACACGCCGCCUCCUCCUCCCCGUCACCCCUUCGCCGUGGUGGCUCCCGUCGUCCCACGCCUCCCUCGUCUGCAAGCGCUGACGCCUCCUCCUCUCCAACCCUACCUUCGUCCGCCGCUUCCAUGUCCUCCACAGGGCGCCUCACCUCCUCAGCUUCUUCGCCGACCACAACACCGGCGCUCCCCCUCCCUCCCUCCGGUCGUCGUCACGCUGCGUCUUGGCCCAACCGUUCAGGUGCUCGGUGCUUAACUCUCCUAUUGCACACCCAUGUUUAACUUUUCUUGAAUUUUCUUAGGAAUUGAGGCUGUAGGGUAUAUAUGAGGGGUUAAUUCAGCCGAACUGUUCAGUAACGUGGUAACUGUUCUUCAGGGUGCGAGUUUGUUGUACUAUAAAGGUUUGGUAACCUGAAUAAAACAAAUGAACUUCUGUUCUAGUUUCACUAUCACCAGGUUGCGGGUUUGAAGGCCAAAACCUUCAGCACUGGUCCUCCAAAACCUUCAGCGCUGGUCCUGCCUAUGCUAGUUUCAUUUGCAUGGAUAAGUUAUGAAUGAAGAAAACAUACAUUUUAAUAUCUAGGCGACCAUUUCAGAAGACGUGUAGUUAGAAAUCAGUAACUAAGAACAGAUCUUAACCUUAUACAUUCUUGGUCUUUCUUUUUGUCCUGUAUUUUUUUAUUGUUUGGGUGUAACACCAUUAUUACAUAGCUUGGUUGAUGCAUACACUACUACAUGGUAUUUAUAUCGUCCUGACGAUUGUUACAUCAACCACAUUACACAUUAUAUAUAGCAGUAUAGAAUAAAUGUUGUACAUGUCUAAUAAUGCACACUAAUAAUUGUAAAUUUGCAACCCACUUAUCCAGCUGAUUGAUAUUGUGAUCAGUUCACGUUGCAAGAGUUUCUAUAAGGUGGUCUGUUAUCCACACUACAAUCUACAAACUUCAUCAGUACAUCCUCAUACAAGUGCAGAUCAAAUUGCAUGGUGAAAUGUGUACUUACAAAUUCGUUUGUAAGUGAACUUAGCUAAUUAUAUGGAUACUCACAUAGUUUUUUGGAUACCGAUCAUACCAAUAAUUUACGAGGAGGUGCACCCAUUCAGCUUCCCAGUAUCUAAUUGUACUAUACACUCCUUCCAUAGGUAAGUUUAUAAAUAAAGCUUCGUUUUCCAUACAAUAUGAUUAUGCUCCUUUUUAUGUGAACUGCAAUAUUGGUCACUCUAUAUCAGUAAAGAUUGAGUGUUGCACAUGUCUAACAAUGUGCAGUGACUGUAAAUUUGCAUCCCGCUUAUCCAGCUGAUCAACAUUGUGAUUGGUUUACAUUGCAGGAAUUUCUGUAAGGUGGACUGUUAUCCAGAGCACGUACUUCAUUUGUACAGCCUUAUACAAGUACAGAUUCGAAUUGCAUGAUGAAAUGUGUAUUUUCAAAUUCAUCUUUAAGUGAACUCAGCUAAUUAUAUGUGCACUCAUAUACUUAUUUGUUUUGGAUUAUACCAAUAAUUUAUGAGGAGUUGCACCCAUUUAUUUCCUAGUUUUUAAUAGUGCUGCACACUUCUUCUUUAGGUAAGUUUAUAAAUAAAGCUUCAUUUUCAUGCAAUUUAUGAUUUUAUGAGAUUUUCCCAUACACUUGCACGUUCCCAUGAAAGAUUCCUCUCACAAAAAAAACUUAAAUUUCAUUUAAUGUGUAACUCUCUAACUCCUUUCUUACAUCCAUUGAGUUAUAUUGCAGGUUGCUAGAUCUAUUACAUUUUCAGACGACGACGACACUAGGUAAGUAUAUUUCCAUUAACAUUCUAUUCAACUCACUAUUAUAUGCUUCUAUUAUAUACUCCUAUUUAAUAACAUUUAUUUUUUGUUAAUAAACCAGUAGAAAAAACAAUUCAAAGACGAAUGUUGAAGCGUCACAUGAGGUAUAAUUUAUAACCUUAACAGAACAAGCUUAUAUUCAGUUAUACUUAACUGUUAAAAUAAACCUCAUCGUAUGGUACAAAUGUUUUACCACCCAACACUCCCGAAAGUUCAAGAACAUUAGAAUCACUAGCGAAAAGGUUCUUCAAACUUUUCUUUUUUCUUUUAACUUUGAACAUCUGUUUUAUCAUGACAAAUAUUGUGUGUUUAAUACAUUCCUCAUCAAACAAAUUUGGUGUCAUAUGCUCAAACCAAACCCUUCAGCAGUCCACAACCCUAGUUCUGCAAAUCCACCUACAAGACACGAAUAAGGUAUUUCCUUUAGCACUUUCUACAAUUUAUCAAUACGAAAUUGACAUACAAAAUAUAAUUUAGCAUGCCUGCUCCAUUUUCUUUCUUGGUAUCUAAAAUAGAAAUUUUAUGAACAAUUUGACCUUUAUGAGUUCUACUAAAACUUGAAAUUUAUAUAAACUAAUUGUACUCCAGUUAUCUCGUUGCCGUCUUUUCGUAAUAGGUUUCUUAAACGUAUAUGUUCACCUAUUUCAAGAGUAAUUUUUUUACCAAACAUGUAUACAUACAUAGGAGUAUAUGUGAAUAGUGUGGUAUACAAUACAUCGACACUCCCACUAUUUUAAUUAUGGCCCAUUAAUUCAUGCAUGCAUUCAUUUAUUCCCUUGCUGCAUUUUUUCUAUAUAUUUGCCUUCAUCUAAUUUUGACUGUUCAUUUGAUCAAACAACAAUGUGUGUUGAACUAAAAUAGAGGCAUUAGUAGACCAGGAUGAAAAAAUAGCGUUAAUACAUGUUAACUAAAAGUUUAAGACUCCAUCCUGGUCCGAUUCUAUAGUGGUACACUUUUUUCUUGACUAAUUGCUUCGUGCUUUCAGUCUUUUUAGUUUAAACUUUCAGGGAUGUGUCCACUGAGAUUGUUGCUGCUCAAGUCCAGCAGACUCUGCGACUAUUAUAGCUUGCCGAUAUCCGAAGGGAUCAGACCGGACAGCACGUUGAGGGACACCAGGCUGUCGAGUUUAGGCGGCAUUGUUCCAGGUUUACUUUGUUCAGUUCAAUUUGUCUAGAUUUUACAUAUUCAUGAAUAGCCCUUUAUUAUUGGUGCAACUAAUAUUCAGUCGCUAAAAUAUCAAUGGCCUACCAAAUUUCGCAAAAAAGGAUGAGCACUACACGAACCAUUCCUGUACUUUGUAAGCCUUCCCUCCUAAAAGCUUCAGAAUCUUAACAUGUUACAGUUAGUUCUUAGAAGAUUUUAUGUGCAUCAUAAUUCUAAAACUUUAGCCAGUUUACACCUGUUAUUUAGUCUACUCCUUGAAAAAAGUUUUUCCCUUUGAUCUAAACAUGAAUGCUUCCUUUUACUCCAACAUCACAGCAAAAAAAAAUCAAAAGCAUUGCACUUCUUACUACUGAUACCCCUAUGUCACUACUACCAUACAGGUUAGUGCACGAUCCUUACCUUUAUGUUCUACAUGUCUUUGGGUUUCUCUUUUUUUCAAGUGCGUUCUAUUAUUGUUUAUAUGUCCACCUUCACACUGAUUAGCUGUUCCUUGUUCCUACACAGUUAUUAUCUGUUAUGUACAUUUUUAUACCUUUCCAAAUUAGCUUAUUAUCUUUAAAAAAUUGUAUUUUCUUGGCUACUUUACAUUUGAAUGACCAAUGGCAACAUCUUCAAACAAACAUAGCUAACUUAGAGGAAAGAAAACAUAAUCUUUAAAUUGCUCAUAAGAGAGAAUGUCAUUUUUCAGAAAAAAAGAAAAACAGUAUUGAUGCUUUAGAAAAUCUUAAACUGAUGCAUGUUAAUAUUAUCAUAUCAAUGCCAACAACAUAUGUUUAAGCUGGUUUCAUCCUUCCUAGCAGCUCUACUUGCUUCAUCUCGCUCUUCACUGCUAUUUUUUAAAUUGGAAGGAAAAUAAGAGUACGAUAGAAGAACUUGAAGCGCAUUCACUGGUCUCUUAUUUAAAGUCCAUAAAGCAAAGUUCCAAAAAAACAAAAAGAAACAUUGAGUUGCCUUCACCCGGCUUCUCUUGAGAAAAUACAAGGCGUUAAGAAAUUCUUUAGAAAGGCAUAUUAUUACUACAUAUAGAGCUAGGAGUAGAUCUUCAUCCGAACCCCUCCAACGACGACUAGGUCGGCGUUUUCUCUCCCUGCUGUUUCAGGUUUGUUACAUUUCAACCUGUGGGCUUUCUUUCAGACAAUUGCAUUUCAUCUAGCAUUCACAUGGGAAGCUCUGAAAUCUGCCAGCUUAAAAACUAGAUGUACCAAACAUGCUAUCUGAGCACCGCACUGAUACAACCUUUGAUAGUCUGCGUUUUCUCUCCCUGCUGUUUCAGGUUUGUUACAUUUCAACCUGUGGGGUUUCUUUCAGACAAUUGCAUUUCAUCUAGCAUUCACAUGGGAAGCUCUCAAAUCUGCCAGCUUAAAAACUAGAUGUACCAAACAUGCUAUCUGAGCACCGCACUGAUACAACCUUUGAUCAGUAUUUAGUACUACUUGCUCUUCCAUAUUAAUACUACUGGUACUACUAUUUCAUUGCACGUUUACAUGACAUGGAACAGAGACUGAAUUUAGUCGAGUGGGUUCACCUGCAGUUCCGGUAUGCAAACUACACGAAUGAUGCCUACAACAAGAGUGGGAACGAAUCCUUGUGGCUGCAGCUGAUAAACCAGAGAGCAUAGACUUAACCUUUGUGCUCUUCUCGACAGGCUUCUUUGCUGUUAGACUUUAACCAAUUCAUCUCAUGUCCCAAGUUCAAUUUUAUGUAAUGAGGAUUGCAUGGUAUUUUUUGGCAAUUUAUCUUUAAUGAACUAUAAUGUAUAGCUGAA